UACGUAGGGUGCGAGCGUUAAUCGGAAUUACUGGGCGUAAAGCGUGCGCAGGCGGUGAUGUAAGACCGAUGUGAAAUCCCCGGGCUCAACCUGGGAACUGCAUUUGUGACUGCAUGGCUAGAGUACGGUAGAGGGGGAUGGAAUUCCGCGUGUAGCAGUGAAAUGCGUAGAUAUGCGGAGGAACACCGAUGGCGAAGGCAAUCCCCUGGACCUGUACUGACGCUCAUGCACGAAAGC
rnacentral:rRNA from 1 species